CACUCGCCUAGUUUUUAGUUCGUUUUGUCUGCCACCAGAGGAAGUGGUGAAUGUGUUUCCUGCUCCGUCUCUCCUUUCAAACAGUAACCCAGUGGUGUGAAUGCACUUGCAGUGAGAGAGAGGAGGGGAAAGCAGAGCUCCAGCAAAGGCAGGUCUGGCCAAAUGCGAAUGAAGAAAAUGGCGAUCAUGCAGGACGAAUGCCUCCCUUCAUAGAUGCUGCAAAAGCGUUCAAAAGUCGUUCAGCCUUACAGCCAGCUUUCUAUUCCACUCUGUUGCACUUUAUACUUCAAAGAGAGAUUCGGAAUUGAAAGCUGUUGCCACCAAAGAAACUAAAGCAUCUUGACAGGAAAUCCGCCUACAGAACGAUCAACUGUGAAUGGAAGACAACGUCACGAGGAAGGCCCAGGUACAGGACAGGACAAAAGGUAAGACUAGGCUCUCUAAACAACCUGCAUACAUUUACACCUUCCAAUACAGUUUCUCUUUUAUUCCCCUAAGUCCAAACUCCAAACACUGUGCCG
rnacentral:lncRNA from 1 species